rnacentral:tRNA from 1 species
GGGAAUGUGGCUUAGUGGUAGAGUGCUUGUCUUGCAUGUAUGAGGCCCUGGGUUCGAUUCCUCAGCACCA